ACACUAGCUGUCCCCUGUGGCGGUAGGUCGGGCCAUAGUGCUGGACGUGCCGUCACAGGAUGCAGCUCCUUA
rnacentral:pre_miRNA from 1 species